GAAGAGACCUUGGCACGGGCUACCUUCCAUGGAGGUACUUCAGUAAAUGUCUGUUGUGACAUUGCAGUCCUGCCAGGCUUCUAGCAUAUAAGGAUACAUACAGUACAUCUGAGUUGAGGGCCGGAGAGACCUUUGCCAUCAUCUGAUGUGAUGCCUUCAGGACACCAAGCCAAGGAGCUUUCCUGCCUGGAAACCAUCUGGCAGCCAUACAGGCCAGCUCUUGGACAGAGCGUGGCUU